GUGGAAAGUAGAUAGUUUUUGAUAGUGCAUGAUAUAUUACAUAAUGUAACCUUGGCUUGAUGUAAAUUUAUAUCUCUUCUGUUAAUUGUGAUGUUAAUUGUCAGGGCUAUUAAAAGAUUGCAUUUAUAAGCAGAGGUAAGCAAUUUUGUAGUUUUAAAACAUCAGUUGUAAACUAGGUGUGUCCAAUGGUUUUCUGAAAUCACCUUUAUCAGAAACUAUCGAAACCAAAUAUUUAAUAUAUGUUUUGCAGAUCUAACAUUGUUAAGCCAGGUUUAAGAAAGCAGAAGAAACCAAACAAAACAUAUAUCACAAUUAUUUCAUUUUCUGGUGUUUUUUACUCUUUUAUUUAAACCAAAGAACACAUAAAGUUUAAAUAUUUUGCACUCUUAAUGACUUUUGGUUUUUGUAAAAAAAUGCAUGAUACAUAAGAUCACGUGGACAGUGGUUUGCCAUUUGACAGAUUUCUGGCCACUUACCAGCUUUUAGAAUAACAAUUAUUGAAAAAAGAGAUGGAUAGGGGUUUAUAGAAAAAUGGAGAUCAGGAAUUUGAUUAAAAAUACAGCUAUAUCUUUGAGCUGACAUUAGAAAAAAAAAAUAAUAAGAGAACUAUUUGGAGGUACAUGUAAAGAAGAAAUCAAAAUAUAAAAGUAUGAAACAAAUAUAAUUGUACUACUAUUCGUGUUUAAGAUGUUAAUGAUAAACUCACAUUUCCUUGAGGUGAAUGUUUAAAUGUGAGUUCAGUUAGAAAUACAACCAAUUUGUUUUUCCAACUACAAAAAUAAGAAAACUCAAAGAUUACAUAAGACAACAUAUUUUUAUUGUAUUCAAUCAUAAUUCUAGAAAUCCCCUAGAUGAAAUCAUUAGACAGAUAAACUGAUCUAUUUUUAAUACAGACACAAAUAAAUCUCUUUUUAUUAGUGGAAAAUGUUAAAAAGAUCAUAAGAUGGAGUGUAUACAAUCACUGAAGUUGUUUCAUCCUUGUAUAACCUAAUAUUUUAAUAUGAUGUAGAACGUCUUUGGCAAAUAUGUCAAAUAUUGAGAUCUAUAUAUCACAUGAAUAUAUUGGCGAAAUAUCUCCUAACGAUGUCUUAUAUCCAGAUUUAUUUCAGUAUGCAGGUGAAUUCCAAUACAUACUUUUGAGAACAGUAGUUUAUCGCUAUUCAAAAGUCAUGAAUCGAAAGAGAGAAAAUAAACUAACACUGAGAUAAAUUAAAAUAGGAAUUCUGAUUUAUACUUAUCAAAAUUCGAAAAAAAACAAUACCAAUAUCUAUACUAAGUUAAACUAAGUAGUGAUAUGGAUAUUCAGAUUUGUACUAUGGGGAACCUAAAUUGUACUAGAUUGUGUAAAGUGUAGAAAGGUCAAAUGUUUUAAUACUAUUGAAAGAUGAAAGAGUCUUUGAUUAUAUAUAACUUAAAAAAUCUGAUUCACGCAACCUCUAGAAUAGGUACAAUGACUUUGAACGGCUUUGGUCGCUAAUAGAAUUGAGGUUUCGUUGAGUGCUUAGAAGACCCAGCAAUACACCGUCAUUUAUAAGAACACUUAUGUUGGUAUCCAAUUCAGAGAUGGAAGAUCCAGUUCUUCAAAUUUGGUUGAAAGUCCAAAGAGACAUAGAGCAGACAUGUGAUUACCCAGGAUCUCUUCUUUAGUGAGUGUCAUGGGAGUAUAUACUGAGUUUCCAAGUAAAUUUUCAAUACUUUAAUUUUUCAAGCAUUUUAUGUAAUUUGAUGUAAUGCAGCUUUAUCUGAGGGGACAUCAUAUUUGUCAUGGAGGUAGGACAAGUGUUUUGCAUCAUUUGGGUCUUUACAGAUUAAUGUAGCAUUGGUAUUGAUAGACCCAAUCAGUUUCUUAAUUCUGAUUUGUAUCAUCGACCUCUCAGCCAUAAUUUUUGUAAAAAGUAUCUUUUUUCUCGCGUUUAACACAUUGCCUGGCAUAAUCAUCGACUGAAUCUAUCAGUGUUAUAAAGUUGUGUUUCCAAUUUAAAUUUCGGGCCUUGGAUAACACAUUGUCGUAGUGGUAUUGACAAUGUUUGGCGUAUUAAAUUAUAAGCCUGGUACCUUUAAUAACUAUUAUCAUGUUUUAAUGUUCUAUUGUGUUGUUAAUUUGUGUAUUUUUCUGUUCUGAAUGUUCUUCCAUUCAUUUGUAUUGCAGUCCUGUCAUGUAAUGUUGUCAUUUUAGUGUUAUAUUUAAAAUUACCAUAAAAGCGGUAGGUUUGGCUAGCAACAAAACCAGGUUCAACCCACCAUCCUUUCUUAAAAUGUUUUGUACCAAUGAGGGAGUCAGGAAAAUGGCAAUUGUUAUCUUAUAGUUUGUUUCUGUAUGUUGCAUUGUCGUUUGGUUUUUUGUUGAACUUGAGAAUUUCUGUUGUUUCAUUGUUUUCCUCUUAUAUUUGAUGUGUUUCCUUCAGUUUUAGUUUGUUAUCCGGAUUUGUUUUCUCUCAUUUAUGACUUUCGAACAACGGUAUACUACUGUUGACCUUAUUCAGGUCACCUAUAAUAACAUUUCCAGCCGGAUUAUAUUUGAAUAGGGAACUAGCACAGGUGCAAUCAGGAGAUUUACACUUAAAGUCGUCAAUAUUCAGAUCCUGUGUGCGAAUAUUUUAUUUGAAAUUUGUUUUUGUAUAGCUAUAAGAAAUGAAAUAAAGGUGCAGAAUGAACUUUAAAAUAGGGAGGUAUUUUCGAUUGAACUGAUUUAUGAUGACGGAUAUUGGUCAAGUUGAUGGCAUCGAUACCAUUGUUUGCAAAGAAUAGUUUAAGAAAGGAUCAUUUACUAUUUUCCAAUGCGAAAUAUUUAAAAAGUUUUCGACUAGUUAUAUCUGAAAUAUUAGAUGUAAGUUUAUAUUCGUUUGAAUGAGGGUUUGUAACAGUGGUUUCAAACGUAUGAAGGUUUUGAAUAAAGGUUCCUGCGAAUCUGAUAAACACCUAACGUUUUUUUUUUAUAUAAAUAGUAACAGGCCAAUAAUAGACACACCAUAGAGGGUAGUUGACGUAUAAUAACAGUUGUUUUUUAAUUUAAAUAGUAACAGGCUAUUAAUAGACACAUCAUAGAGGGUAGUUGACGUCUAAUAACAGGUUUUUAAACUAAUGUUUAGUGUAUAAAACUAAUGGCUUAUUUUCUGGACAACUAUAAUAUUAUAUUUUUGCCAUUAGUGCAAGAGAAACAUGUUUUAUUGUUUGUAACAUUGCACUUUCUUUCCAUAGCUAAUCCUGAACCAGUGGCAUUUCAAGCACACCUUUCAGUGGACCAUGCUUUGUACCCGACCAGUGCUACGAUUAAGUUUGAUGAUGUUGUUCUUAA
rnacentral:lncRNA from 1 species